rnacentral:rRNA from 1 species
UAACCUGCCCAAGAGAUCGGGAUAACACCUGGAAACAGAUGCUAAUACCGGAUAACAACAGAUGAUGCCUAUCAACUGUUUAAAAGAUGGUUCUGCUAUCACUCUUGGAUGGACCUGCGGUGCAUUAGCUAGUUGGUAGGGUAACGGCCUACCAAGCGAUGAUGCAUAGCCGAGUUGAGAGACUGAUCGGCCACAUUGGGACUGAGACACGGCCCAAACUCCUACGGGAGGCAGCAGUA